rnacentral:rRNA from 1 species
AUACGGAGGGUGCGAGCGUUAUUCGGAAUCACUGGGCGUAAGGGACGCGUAGGCGGGUUGGCAAGUCAGAUGUGAAAUCCUACAGCUUAACUGUAGAACUGCAUUUGAAACUGCUAACCUAGAGUAUGGGAGGGGGAGAUGGAAUUAGUGGUGUAGGGGUAAAAUCCGUAGAUAUCACUAGGAAUACCGAAAGCGAAGGCGAUCUCCUGGAACAUAACUGACGCUAAGGCGUGAAAGCGUGGGGAGCAAACAGGAUUAGAAACCCGAGUAGUCC